UUGUUCCCUUGCCAAUGAACAGUUUAUUACAUUUCUAAUUAUUGUUAUUAGUCUGGCAGGUGGUGCCAUGCAUGAUAUUUUUACAACUGCCAAAGAUGCAGGUACUUCUUUCAUGAUGAAAAAAUAACCCGGGAGCCGCAGCUGUGCUGGGAUGGGUUCAGGAUUUGGCUGACUUGUGUCUGCACCCGCCAGGGCUCCAGUUAUUCAUCAUUGCAGAGGGUUUAAACUCUGUUUCUGCUUUGGCAAGCACUAAAUCCAGUGGGCUAGUUGAGAGCAGAGAGUUGCAUUCCUAAAAUAAAAUGAACCAAAUGGAGAGAGGCUGCAGAUGCACAGAGCUGCCAACAUGCCAUAGUUAUCCAAGGAGGAAUUUCCUCAAGGACACAAGAGGAACAGCUUUUACAGGUCCUGGAGAAAGGUCCACAGUUACCCACAUGCUGCUAAUUAUUGAAUAAAACACAGAACCUCA